CGCAAACACCAGUUCCCAUACAAUCACAGAAGUUAAGCAAUGUCGAGCCUUGUCAGUAUCUAGAUGAGUGACUGCUUUGAAAUAGCAGGUGCUGUAAG
rnacentral:rRNA from 1 species